GAUGAACGCUGGCGGCGUGCCUAAUACAUGCAAGUCGAGCGAAUGGAUUAAGAGCUUGCUCUUAUGAAGUUAGCGGCGAACGGGUGAGUAACACGUGGGUAACCUGCCCAUAAGACUGGGAUAACUCCGGGAAACCGGGGCUAAUACCGGAUAACAUUUUGAACCGCAUGGUUCGAAAUUGAAAGGCGGCUUAGGCCGUCGCUUAUGGAUGGACCCGCGUCGCAUUAGCUAGUUGGUGAGGUAACGGCUCACCAAGGCAACGAUGCGUAGCCGACCUGAGAGGGUGAUCGGCCACACUGGGACUGAGACACGGCCCAGACUCCUACGGGAGGCAGCAGUAGGGAAUCUUCCGCAAUGGACGAAAGUCUGACGGAGCAACGCCGCGUGAGUGAUGAAGGCUUUCGGGUCGUAAAACUCUGUUGUUAGGGAAGAACAAGUGCUAGUUGAAUAAGCUGGCACCUUGACGGUACCUAACCAGAAAGCCACGGCUAACUACGUGCCAGCCGCCGCCGUAA
rnacentral:rRNA from 1 species